ensembl:lncRNA
UAGCUAGGCAGACCACAAAGUCUCCAGAAUGAAAAAAUGCUGGAAGCUGAUAAUGUAUUCAGCUGAGCAUUCUUCCUGGCAGGGUGAGCGAGAGCAUUAUUGAGACCUUAAAAGCUUGGUGCUAACAACAAAUGAGCACUGGCCUGGAAAAUCCACUUCCUCUUAGGCAUGAUGAGGUAGGGAUCUGGAAAGCAAGUUUUAGGUAUUUGCAGAAUCUCCCUGCAUUAAAAAAAAAAAAGAAAGAAAGCAAGCAAGAAAGAAAAAAUGGUCACAGUCAUAUACAGGCUGCUUUCAUGGAAUCAUUCAGUUCUGCAGCCCCUGUAUGUGAUCCAAACCUCUUUGCAUCUCCGACUGCAGCCCAGUACCUGAGGGUCAAGUACCCCACUGAGAGCUCAGAAAGAGAAGCCAGAAAAAGAUAUGGAGCUGGUACGGGUGACUGUUGAGCACAGAUGGCCAGUUAUCGAUGUAAUCUGUGUAUCUGGGAGGCAUGUGCUGUAAGAAGGCAGCUGCUAAACUGAAUUAAGCCACAGUUUUUAAGAAGAGAAAGUGGAUUGGAAACGGAUAGAAGUUUUGAAUGUAUGCGGCUGUGUGAAGCUAUGAUCUAUGGUUAAAAAUCAGGAUGAUAUGCACCAAGAGACUGAGGAUCUUUCCAAAGUACAACCCUACGGAAGCCAGAGUAUAUUACUCAAGGUUUCAAUACAACCUCAUGUGAAAAAGAAAAUUGCAAAGAUGUCAAUAGAACAUCCCUGCUCUUGAGACAAGAAUCCAUAGUUCAAUCAAGAAAUUAUUCUGUGUCUACCCGAGAG